rnacentral:rRNA from 1 species
GCGAGUGAAGCGGGAAGAGCUCAAAUUUGAAAUCUGGUAGCCUUCGGCUGCCCGAGUUGUAAUCUAGAGAAGUGUUUUCCGUGCCGGCCCAUGUACAAGUCCCUUGGAACAGGGCGUCAUAGAGGGUGAGAAUCCCGUCCUUGACAUGGACCCCCGGUGCUUUGUGAUACACUUUCAACGAGUCGAGUUGUUUGGGAAUGCAGCUCAAAAUGGGUGGUGAAUUCCAUCUAAAGCUAAAUAUUGGCGAGAGACCGAUAGCGAACAAGUACCGUGAGGGAAAGAUGAAAAGCACUUUGGAAAGAGAGUUAAACAGUACGUGAAAUUGUUGAAAGGGAAACGAUUGAAGUCAGUCAUGCUCUUUGGAUUCAGCCGUUCUGCGGUGUAUUUCCAUUGAGUGGGGUCAACAUCAGUUUUGACCGCUGGAUAAAGGCACUAGGAAGGUAGCACUCUCGGGUGAACUUAUAGCCUAGCGUCAUAUACAGUGGUUGGGACUGAGGGAACGCAGCAUGCCUUUAUGGCCGGGAUUCGUCCACGUAC